GACGUAGGGCGCGAGCGUUGUCCGGAUUUAUUGGGCGUAAAGAGCUCGUAGGCGGCUUGUUGCGUCGACUGUGAAAACCCGCGGCUUAACCGCGGGCUUGCAGUUGAUACGGGCAGGCUAGAGUUCGGUAGGGGAGACUGGAAUUCCUGGUGUAGCGGUGAAAUGCGCAGAUAUCAGGAGGAACACCGGUGGCGAAGGCGGUUCUCUGGGCCUGUACUGACGCUGAGGAACGAAAGCGUGGGGAGCAAACAGG
rnacentral:rRNA from 1 species